AGAAAUGCCGAUGCAUCUUUUGAAUGUCCUGGCUGUGCUGUGCUGGUGAAGAGUCUGCUUUUUAAGCUCUAAAAGGUCACUGCCAAGGUAUGCUGAUCUGCUGUCCGACUGCAAGUGUUCCUCCAACUGCACCUAUCUGAAGUAGAGCUGUACCAGUGACCUAGCCUGAUUGCCAUCGACUUGAAAGGCUCUGCGAGACUUCAGUCUGACCAAGAGCCUGUGCUAACACGGUUUCUCCCAGCGCUGGUUGACCCGCCUCAUUUAAGUGCCUCGAUUUGCUACUGGUCGAUGUCAGAAAGCGGUUUGCCGAGUUUAAACCAAUAACAACACUCUUUCCUCUGCCUUGAACAUGCCUCUACCCAGAGCCGUUGGAGCUGCUCAAAGUUGAUUGGUUCUCGACCAAAGGGGGCAGUUCCGCAGAUUUCGGGAAUUCAGAAAUCCUUCCCGAUUAGCAGUUGACCAGACCAGCGACAGCAACGCCGAAGGUGUUACGUCACUGGGAGGGCGUGCCAGGCUACCAGUGACCACAAGUUAAAGAUUUUUGCCCACCGACAUCAAGAAGUAGUCUGAGAUGCACCCAUGAUGGCUGAAUUAAGACGAGGUGGCCAGCAUUUUCAAUGUGCGUGAGCUGUGUGCGGAAUUCAAGGGAUCACUGGAUGGAUGCUCCAUCUGCAAACCUGAUGAAGGCAUUUAGUAUCUAUGACUGAGGAUUCUGGCAUUGAUGUCUGCCACGAAUGUCCUCUCCUCUCAAGGGACUGUGCCUAUAUGAAUGAAGACCCUUAGAGCGUCGUGAAGGAAUACAUGCCAGGGGUUCGUAGUCACACGGUAGAGACCAUAUAUGGCAUCAGAUGGCAUAUC